AGGCCAUGGUGAGGACACUUCGUUUGUAGGUUCUCGUACCUUCCAAUGCCUAAUAUAAAGAUUCACCAACGAAAUGACAAAAGGUAGCUAUAUCAUUCCUAAACUU